rnacentral:tRNA from 1 species
GUGGCUGUGGCUCAGUGGUAGAGCACUCAUCUGGCAUGUGUGAAGCACUGGGUUCAAUCCUCAGCACCACA